GAGCGUCAUUAUACCUCUCAAGCUCUGCUUGGUGUUGAGGCGUGCCCGUCCGGGCACCCUCUAAAGACAGUGGCAGCGUCACUCGAGCCUCAAGCGUAGUACAUCUCUCGCUAUGGAGCCCGGGGGACGAUCGCCAGAAACGAAGCCUAUGGCUUCUCCAGGUUGACCUCGGAUCAGGUAGGGAUACCCGCUGAACUUAA
rnacentral:misc_RNA from 1 species